CACUCACAAACACAGACACACACACACACAUCCUCCCGCCCUCCCAGUUCUAGUGAAGCUCAGUUUGGAGAAGGUACACCAGUGGUUCUGUUCAGAGUAGCUCUCUCCAGAUCUAGAGGGCCAGCAUGACUCUCCAAGCUCUCCUCCCAGUGUCUCUCUCUCUACUCUGGCUCACAGGUCACUGCCAGAAGAGUGAUGUCACACAGCAGCCAGGAACGAUCUGGAGUCUUGCCCAGAAAACUGCAGAGAUGAACUGCAGCCAUGAGAAAGACGCGAGUUACUAUCAGAUGUACUGGUUCAGACAGCGUCCAGGGGAGUCCAUGAUGCUCAUCGUGUUCACAAGCGUUGGUAUGCAGCCGGACUACGGAGAUCUCAGUAAAACCAAAUACUCAGCUGUUAAAUCUGUAGCUCAGAACGGAGCAUUCACCGUGAACGACUUGACACCAGAGGACAGCGGGCUGUAUUUCUGUGCUGUCAGCCAACACAGUGAUACAAACUGAUUGUACAGCUGAACAAAAACUGGUUUGUGUAAGCCUUGGGUUUGUUUUCCUGAAUCAUCAGAACAGAUGUGGUGUCUGUCCUGUAGGUGGAGCUACAGCUCAA